AACGAACGCUGGCGGCAUGCCUAACACAUGCAAGUCGAACGAGACCUUCGGGUCUAGUGGCGCACGGGUGCGUAACGCGUGGGAACCUGCCCUUAGGUUCGGAAUAACUCCCCGAAAGGGGUGCUAAUACCGGAUAAUGUCUUCGGACCAAAGAUUUAUCGCCUUUGGAUGGGCCCGCGUUGGAUUAGCUAGUUGGUAGGGUAAAAGCCUACCAAGGCGACGAUCCAUAGCUGGUCUGAGAGGAUGAUCAGCCACACUGGGACUGAGACACGGCCCAGACUCCUACGGGAGGCAGCAGUGGGGAAUAUUGGACAAUGGGCGAAAGCCUGAUCCAGCAAUGCCGCGUGAGUGAUGAAGGCCUUAGGGUUGUAAAGCUCUUUUACUCGGGAUGAUAAUGACAGUACCGGGAGAAUAAGCUCCGGCUAACUCCGU
rnacentral:rRNA from 1 species